rnacentral:rRNA from 1 species
GGUUAAGCGACUAAGCGUACACGGUGGAUGCCCUGGCAGUCAGAGGCGAUGAAGGACGUGCUAAUCUGCGAUAAGCGUCGGUAAGGUGAUAUGAACCGUUAUAACCGGCGAUUUCCGAAUGGGGAAACCCAGUGUGAUUCGUCACACUAUCAUUAACUGAAUCCAUAGGUUAAUGAGGCGAACCGGGGGAACUGAAACAUCUAAGUACCCCGAGGAAAAGAAAUCAACCGAGAUUCCCCCAGUAGCGGCGAGCGAACGGGGAGCAGCCCAGAGCCUGAAUCAGUGUGUGUGUUAGUGGAAGCGUCUGGAAAGGCGCGCGAUACAGGGUGACAGCCCCGUACACAAAAAUGCACAUACUGUGAGCUCGAUGAGUAGGGCGGGACACGUGGUAUCCUGUCUGAAUAUGGGGGGACCAUCCUCCAAGGCUAAAUACUCCUGACUGACCGAUAGUGAACCAGUACCGUGAGGGAAAGGCGAAAAGAACCCCGGCGAGGGGAGUGAAAAAGAACCUGAAACCGUGUACGUACAAGCAGUGGGAGCACGCUUAGGCGUGUGACUGCGUACCUUUUGUAUAAUGGGUCAGCGACUUAUAUUCUGUAGCAAGGUUAACCGAAUAGGGGAGCCGAAGGGAAACCGAGUCUUAACUGGGCGUUAAGUUGCAGGGUAUAGACCCGAAACCCGGUGAUCUAGCCAUGGGCAGGUUGAAGGUUGGGUAACACUAACUGGAGGACCGAACCGACUAAUGUUGAAAAAUUAGCGGAUGACUUGUGGCUGGGGGUGAAAGGCCAAUCAAACCGGGAGAUAGCUGGUUCUCCCCGAAAGCU